UGAAUAAACUCUGCUCCUGCUUCGUUCAAGAUCAUGUUUUCAUAUACACUAUAAAGUUACAGAAUGUCUUUUAACGAUUGCGCAAGCAGUCAUUAAACCUAUACAACUUUCAGCAACGGAUCUCUUGGCUCUCCUAUCGAUGAAGAACGCAGCGAAAUGCGAUAAGUAAUGUGAAUUGCAGAAUUCAGUGAAUCAUCGAAUCUUUGAACGCACCUUGCGCCCUUUGGUAUUCCGAAGGGCAUGCCUGUUUGAGUGUCAUUAAAUUAUCAACCUUGCUCGCUUUUACUAGCUUGAGUUUGGCUUGGAUGUGAGGGCUUUGCUGGCUUCCUUCAGUGGAUGGUCUGCUCCCUUUAAAUGCAUUAGUGGGAUCUCUUGUGGACCGUCACUUGGUGUGAUAAUUAUCUAUGCCUUGAGACUUUGAAGCAAACUAAUGGGAACCUGCUCAUAACCGUCUUCGGACAAUCUCUGACAUUUUGACCUCAAAUCAGGUAGGACUACCCGCUGAACUUAAGCAUAUCAAUAAGCGGAGGAAAAGAAACUAACAAGGAUUCCCCUAGUAACUGCGAGUGAAGCGGGAAAAGCCCAAAUUUAAAAUCUGGCGGUCCUUGUGGCCGUCCGAGUUGUAAUUUAGAGAA
rnacentral:rRNA from 1 species